GCACUGCUGAGGAGUCCCAUAAUAGGACAAAACGUACAUCCAGUGC
rnacentral:hammerhead_ribozyme from 1 species